rnacentral:rRNA from 1 species
CGCCGAAAAGCUAGCCUACUACGCAAACACAACAACCAAUAUUAAUACCCCCUAACAUACUACAAAUCACUAGACCAAAUCAUUUUUCCACCUAAGUAUGAGCGACAGAAAAGGACACAUUUUUAGAGCAAUAGAGACAGUACCGCAAGGGAAAAGCUGAAAGAAAAAUGAAAUACUCAACUCAAGCACCAAAAAGCAAAGCUUAAAGCUUGUACCUUUUGCAUCAUGGUCUAGCCAGCAUUACUUAGGCAAAGCGCACUUUAGUCUAAGCCCCCGAAACCAGGUGAGCUACUUCAAGACAGCCUAAUAUAAGGGCGAACCCGUCCCUGUAGCAAAAGGGUGGGACGAUCUUCAAGUAGAGGUGACAUACCUAUCGAACCUGGCUAUAGCUGGUUGCUUGAAAAAUGGAUAGAAGUUCAGCCUUGCCCUUUCCUCAGCCACCCUCACUUUAGUCUCCACUCAUAGGAAUCUAACGAAUAGCGCAAGAGUUAGUCACAGGAGGUACAGCUCCUCUGAUAUAGGACACAGCCUUACACAGGAGGGUAAAGAUCAUUUUACCUCAAGGCCUUACCCGCAGUAGGCUUGAAAGCAGCCACCUUUAAAGAAAGCGUUGUAGCUCAGAUCGGCAAAUAUGCCUAAAAUACGGAUAAUUCAAUCUUAACCCCCUAUCACUAUCAAGCCGUUCAAUACAACUAUUGAAGCGAAAAUGCUAGAAUGAGUAACAAGAGACCCCAGACUCUCUCCCAGCACAAGCGUACCUCGGAACGAACCCGCACCGAAAUUCAACGGCCCCAAAACCAGAGGAGACUGAUCAUUAACUCUCAACCCACAAGAAAACCCCUCAGUAAACCCUCCCGUUAACCCUACACAGGAGUGCACCCCGGGAAAGACUUAAAGAAGGAGAAGGAACUCGGCAAACACAUAUUCUGAAGCCCCGCCUGUUUACCAAAAACACCGCCUCUUGCUGAUAAUUGAAGAAUAAGAGGUCGAGCCUGCCCACUGACUAUAUGUUCAACGGCCACGGUAUUUUGACCGUGCAAAGGUAGCGUAAUCACUUGUCUUUUAAAUUGAGACCUGUAUGAACGGAAUAACGAGGGCUUAACUGUCUCCUCCCUCCAGUCAGUGAAAUUGAUCUCCCCGUGCAAAAGCGGGGAUUCCCACAUAAGACGAGAAGACCCUAUGGAGCUUUAGACACCCAACAGACCAAGUAAAAAUUAGUCUAGACCAACAGACAAGACUCGACUUGGACCCCUGCCUGGAUGUCUUUGGUUGGGGCGACCACGGGGAAAAAUAAACCCCCCACGUAGAAUGGGAGCAACUUUCUCAUACGUACAUAUUCUCUCAUCCUCCUUAAACCUAGAAUGCCAAUUCAAAGUAGCAGAACCUUCUGAUCUAAUAUUGAUCCGGCCUCACGGCCGAACAACGGACCGAGUUACCCUAGGGAUAACAGCGCUAUCCCCUUACAGAGACCCUAUCGACAAGGGGGUUUACGACCUCGAUGUUGGAUCGGGACAUCCUAAUGGCGCAGCCGUUAUUAAGGGUUCGUUUGUUCAACGAUUAAAGUCCCACGUGAUCUGAGUUCAGACCGGAGUAAUCCAGGUCGGUUUCUAUCUAUGAAUGUGCCCCUUCCUAGUACGAAAGGACCGGACGGGGAGAGCCCAUCCCACAUCGACGCCCUUUCACCACCUGAUGAAGCCAUCUAAAACAGGUAAGGUGACACACACCCCCACGUCGAGACAAAGACCA